rnacentral:rRNA from 1 species
AUUGAACGCUGGCGGAAUGCUUUACACGUGCAAGUCGAACGGCAGCACGGACUUCGGUCUGGUGGCGAGUGGCGAACGGGUGAGUAAUGUAUCGGAACGUGCCCAGUCGUGGGGGAUAACGUAGUGAAAAUUACGCUAAUACCGCAUACGAUCUAUGGAUGAAAGCGGGGGAUCGCAAGACCUCGCGGGAUUGGAGCGGCCGAUAUCAGAUUAGGUAGUUGGUGGGGUAAAGGCCCACCAAGCCAACGAUCUGUAGCUGGUCUGAGAGGACGAACAGCCACACUGGAACUGAGACACGGUCCAGACUCCUACGGGAGGCAGCAGUGGGUAAUUUUGGACAAUGGGCGAAAGCCUGAUCCAGCCAUUCCGCGUGCAGGAUGAAGGCCCUCGGGUUGUAAACUGCUUUUGUACAGAACGAAAAGGUUUCUACUAAUACUAGGAGCUCAUGACGGUACUGUAAGAAUAAGCACCGGCUAACUACGUGCCAGCCGCCGCAGUAA